CGACUAGCCGAGCGACUUCCUAAACAGUCCAGAGGUGAUGUGAUUUGCCCCAAGUCGGCAACUUCCUGGAAUUAGAAACCGAUCGGAAGACUUCCAUGUGGGUGUUCUUUCCGCUACUAUCAGGUUACCUCCGAGCCUUAGGAUCUGCUUUUGAAAAGGAAUGAAGAGGUCGUCUAGGGAGAGCCACUGAAGGAAAAAAUAUUCAGAUUUGGCAAGUGUCUUAUGCAAAGUAGGUACCUAAUAAGCAUUUGCCACCUGGACGACCGCAUGGCUGGAUGCACCCCAUCCACCAUAGACAUGCAGGAGGAUUUGUGGAAAUAGCCCCACCUAGGAGGCACGAUAUUUUCCUAAAAGUGGAUUACUGUGAAGGGUACGCCCACAUUUAAGGCUCUCGAUUCUGAACCCCUCCAGCGGUGCAAGAAUGAGUCAGCUUCCCAGCACGCUGGCUCCAACACUGUCAUCUUUCUAAGGUCAGAUCUGAAAUUUUAGCCUCCAGCUUGAAGCUCUCCAUCCCUCCAGGGUAAAGUCCACCUUCACAAAUCUGGGUUAAAAGGUGUUACGCCCUCUGGGCCCUGCUGGUCCCUCUAGCACACGUCUCCACCCACGGGAGCCGCUCUCUGCACAGCCACAGAGUUACAGCCGCAGACACUCCCUCCCGCCCCCUCCCCCUGAGCCCAGCCAACUCCUCCUCGCUCUUCGGGUCUCCGCUUGGACACUCUGACAGGCAGCCUUUAAGACGGCCCCGCUGAUCCGCGCCUCCUGGUAUUCACGCCCUUGAGUGUGUUUCCUGAUGUGAUUCCGGAGAACAGAGUAUGGCAGGAGUGACAUCAGCUCCGCAAAGACUGUGGCUCCUUUCUGGGGGCCCUCCCCCGACUCACCUGCUCUGCAGGAAGCCAGAUGGGGCCACGUGACCAGGAACAGAGGGGAGGCCCCCAGCCAGCAGCCCGUGAGGAACUGACUCCUGUCAGCAACCGCAGGAGCGGGCUCGGAACCAGGUCCUCGGAACCAGAUCCUCGGAACCAGGUCCUCCACCGGAGCUGAGCGUUCAGAUGGGACGGCAGCCUCGGCUAAUGGCAAAACUGCCGCCCCACUGAAGCCCUUCAGCCUGGAGGCGCCCAGCGAAGCCACACCUUGAUUUCUGACCCAAAGAAACUGUGAGAUAAUCAUCGUCUGUUGGUUUAAGCAGCUCCACCUUUUUGUUAAUUUGUUACACGCAGAAAUAGAUAACCAGUACCACCUCUGGACCCCUGCCCCUCCUCCACACCAACUUCAGGGUCCUCCUGACUUCCGAUUUCCACCAGUCAUGCUCAGUGCUUAGCCCUUAGUAGUAGAAUUAGGGAUUUGUCCAGAUCUCUGCCCCCAGACUGCAGGCUCUUUGGGGAAAAAAAGAAAAAGCCCAGGGACUUCCCUGGUGGUGCAGUGGUUAAGAAUCCACCUGCCAUGUCAUACAGAGUGAAGUAAGUCAGAAGGAGAAAAACAA